rnacentral:rRNA from 1 species
GACGAACGCUGGCGGCGUGCCUAAUACAUGCAAGUUGAGCGAUGAAGAUUGGUGCUUGCACCAAUUUGAAGAGCAGCGAACGGGUGAGUAACGCGUGGGGAAUCUGCCUUUGAGCGGGGGACAACAUUUGGAAACGAAUGCUAAUACCGCAUAAUAACUUUAAACAUAAGUUUUAAGUUUGAAAGAUGCAAUUGCAUCACUCAAAGAUGAUCCCGCGUUGUAUUAGCUAGUUGGUGAGGUAAAGGCUCACCAAGGCGAUGAUACAUAGCCGACCUGAGAGGGUGAUCGGCCACAUUGGGACUGAGACACGGCCCAAACUCCUACGGGAGGCAGCAGUAGGGAAUCUUCGGCAAUGGACGAAAGUCUGACCGAGCAACGCCGCGUGAGUGAAGAAGGUUUUCGGAUCGUAAAACUCGGUUGGUAGAGAAGAACGUUGGUGAGAGUGGAAAGCUCAUCAAGUGACGGUAACUACCCAGAAAGGGACGGCUAACUACGUG